AUGUCAGGGAAGAGUUAGAAGUUUCCAGUUUAUCAGAGGGAGAAAGCAUUCCCCAAGGGGGGAAGGAGAGCAGUGAAUCUAAUAGAAGGGAGCAAGAGGAACAACAGGGAGGGACCGGCUGUUCCCAGGAAAGGCAAGGGUUAAGUUCUAGCUCAGAUUGGGAGGAGGGGAGAUACAGGCCAGCUCUAGCCAGGAGGUUAGAAAAAAGAGCGGGAAAACGAAGGGAAAGGCGCCUUCACCAUUUUGAGGGUGGCUGGUCACGGAGAAGCAGAGCUCAGAAGGUAUCUGAAAUAAGUGACUCUGAGGAAUAAUAGUUAAGAACCGUUUAUAAGAAUGUUUUGUUAAUACGCAAUAAAAAGUUUUAUAAAAGAACAAGAAGCGUUUGUGUGGUGAUCUGAAGAGGACAACGACCAGUCCUGACACCACAGUUGCAGAGAAGGCUGGUCAUCACAUUGCUGCUGCUUAGUAUUUUGUAACUGUGCUGCAUCUCAUUUGAUUAACAAAUAGAGGGGAGGGGGGCAUGAUUGUGCCAGCAGACUGUAUGCCAUUCUUUGUUCAACUGUGCUUUGGGCAUGGAAGAUGUGAUGCAAAGGGUGAAAAUAAAUGACCCAUAAUUCCUUUACAUGUCCCUUAAAGGUAAAGGUAAAGGUACUCCUGACUGUUAGGUCCAGUCGUGGAUGACUCUGGGGUUGCGGCGCUCAUCUCGCUCUAUAGGCCGAGGGAGCCGGCGUUUGUCUGCAGACAGCUUCCAGGUCAUGUCGCCAGCAUGACUAAGCUCCUUCUGGCGAAACCAGAGUAGCACAUGGAAACGCCGCUUACCUUCCCGCCGGAGCGGUACCUAUUUAUCUACUUGCACUUUGACAUGCUAGGUUGGCAGGAACUGGGACAGAGCAACAGGAGCUCACCCCGUCACGGGGAUUCGAACUGCCGACCUUCCGAUCGGCAAGCCCUAGGCUCAGUGGUUUAGACCACAGCGCCAGCCACACAUGUGUCCCUUAAAGCCCUUAAUUAAUUAAUUAAUUAAUUAAAGCCCUACAAUUAAAGCCCUACAAUUCCAUGAUUCUAUAACAGUACAAACAAUCUCUCUUUACAGCUAAAAUAAUGUAUUUACAUGCUAAAUACAUGAUUAAUUCUCUAAUUUAACAGUGUGAUAAAGCAUGUAUUUGAACCUUCCACAUACACCAUGCUACCCUGCAUUACAGAUGAGUUUUGGUUCUUGACAUAUACAUUAAUUAAUCAGUUCCCCAUCUUUUUUUGUUUCCUUCAGAAUUUGCAUCUAAGGAGCUGACUUUUCAAGAUCUGUCUCCAGUUUGUUUUCCAUCUCUUGUAACAAAC